CUUAUGGACUUUUCAGACUUAGCAAGCUACGGCUUACUAGCGAAGACUAUUUUACAUAUAGUCAGAACGUAUAGCCCGUCCUGGGACUACCAGGCAAACAUAAAAAAGGACGCUUCCGGUUAGUAGCGAAGGCGAAGGGCGGAAGCG
ncrna:unclassified sequences RT-14 RNA